UCCUAUUUUAUUUUUAGGAGUUUAAUUCUAAAUUUUUCUAUUAAUUAUGCUGACAUGGAUUUUAUGAAAAAAAAUACUUACUUGGCAUUUGAUGUAUCAUUUAAAAUUUAAAUUAGAAAAGAAAAAAAAUUAACAAAAAAAUGCCAAAAAAGUAAAAAGUUUCGUAAUUUUUUUCAUUAAAAAAAAACAUCCCAAAUCUAAG
rnacentral:lncRNA from 1 species